UCUGGGGGCGUGGCCAACCAUGCGGGAGGCGGGGCCUUGAUGCUGGACAUCAGGCUGUGCUGCCGGCAGCCUGUGAGAAGGCCGUGAAGAUGGCGGCCUCCUGGAGGCUAGGUUGUGAUCCGCAAUUGCUGCGUUAUCUUGUGGGCUUCCCUGGCCGCCGAAGCGUAGGGCUGGUGAAGGGGGCUCUUGGGUGGUCUGUAAGCCGCGGAGCUAAUUGGAGAUGGUUUCACAGCACGCAGUGGUUUCGGGGUGACCCCAUUAAGAUACUAAUGCCAUCACUGUCUCCUACAAUGGAAGAAGGAAACAUUGUGAAAUGGCUGAAAAAGGAAGGUGAAGCAGUGAGUGCUGGAGAUGCAUUAUGUGAAAUUGAGACUGACAAAGCUGUGGUUACCUUAGAUGCAAGCGAUGAUGGAAUCUUGGCCAAAAUCGUGGUUGAAGAAGGAAGUAAAAAUAUACGGCUAGGUUCACUAAUUGGUUUGAUAGUAGAAGAAGGAGAAGAUUGGAAACAUGUUGAAAUUCCCAAAGACGUAGGUCCUCCACCACCAGUUUCAAAACCUUCAGAGCCUUGCCCCUCACCAGAACCACAGAUUUCCAUCCCUGUCAAGAAGGAACACAUGCCCGGGACACUACAGUUCCGUUUAAGUCCAGCUGCCCGCAAUAUUCUGGAAAAACACUCACUGGAUGCUAGCCAGGGCACAGCCACUGGCCCUCGGGGGAUAUUCACUAAAGAGGAUGCUCUCAAACUUGUCCAGUUGAAACAGACGGGCAAGAUUACUGAGUCCAGACCAACUCCAGCCCCCGCAGCCACUCCCGCAGCACCGUCGCCCCUACAGGCCACAGCUGGGCCAUCUUAUCCCCGGCCUGUGAUCCCACCAGUAUCAACUCCUGGACAACCCAAUGCAGUGGGCACAUUCACUGAAAUCCCUGCCAGCAAUAUUCGAAGAGUUAUUGCCAAGAGAUUAACUGAAUCUAAAAGUACUGUUCCUCAUGCAUAUGCUACUGCUGACUGUGACCUUGGAGCUGUUUUAAAAGUUAGGCAAGAUCUGGUCAAAGAUGACAUUAAAGUAUCAGUAAAUGAUUUCAUCAUCAAGGCAGCAGCCGUUACCCUUAAACAAAUGCCAGAUGUUAAUGUAAGCUGGGAUGGAGAGGGCCCAAAGCAACUGCCAUUUAUUGACAUUUCAGUGGCUGUGGCAACAGAUAAAGGCUUACUUACACCAAUCAUAAAAGAUGCUGCUGCUAAGGGUAUCCAGGAAAUUGCUGACUCUGUAAAGGCUCUAUCAAAGAAAGCAAGAGAUGGAAAAUUGUUGCCUGAAGAAUACCAAGGAGGAUCUUUUAGAUGUGCGAUUUGGGGCGUGGAGUGUCAAAGGAAGAGAACUGGGGGAAUUCUUGACCUGGCUGGGCUCUUCUUUGGCCCCAGCUCGCCUUUCAUCCUUCACCUCCCUCCCAUCCUGGCUGCUCACAUUCCUACGUGAUAAGAAGGUGGAGGCUCAGGAAGGUGGAGUGACUUUCUACUACUAAAGAACUAGCAGGAAAGUAUUUCAAAUUCAAGUCUCAUGACCCUAAAUGUAGGGUAUUUCCCAGUGGCUCAUGGUAAUUGAGUUCCUUAAAAAUGAGCCACUGCUGUCUGAGGCCUGAAACCACAGGGCUUACUGAUGUGGCUGCAAGCUGCAGCUCUAUGCCAGAAAGGGGACAAGCUAAGGAGAAGAGGAACCACAUUUGCACUGGCGGAACUCAGCAUGUCUCACGCAUGCCGAAUGUUUACGUGUGUUCCCCACUUGGUAUCCAUAGCAACUGGCAGAGGUGCAAAAAUGCUUCAUUGGUAUUUGUAAGAGGAUGAGAAGAAAGCCCUCCAAGAUCCUCUUUCUCCCAGUGGGCAGGGCUAUUUCCAUCCAUGGCUUCGUGACUUCUCCCAGCAGCCGUUUGGCAUGAGGAUUUCAAACAGCAGGAAGCCAGUGAGUCCACCGGAUAGGUAUUUGAAAUGUACUGAAUGGAAAGCCCUCAUCUCCUGCUCCCUCUUCCAGGCAAUUAUUCAUGGAGUCAGGAGAGGAUUCUGUUAUUCAAGGAGUCCCCAUAGUAAGGGGCUGAGAGAUUGUGGUUUCUAGUCUUUAACCACAACAUUUAAGGCGUGGCUCCAUUUUUCUUAUAAUUUCCAAGUGUACAUCAUUACCUAAUUCUCCCUGAAGAAUCGAAAUUGCUUUAUGAUGCAUAUGUAUUAGUGAUGUGAGCUGAGAUUCUGAGCCAGCAAACAUCUUUCUCAGAAACCUCCCUCUUGUUCUCCUCUCCCGUGUUGCCCCUUGAAGUUACUCCUUCUACCAGAGAUGCUCAAAGGUUCUUGGUCAGAAAGUCUAUAUUGCAGCAAUUAAAACUGGGGUUCAACUCAACAUAUGUGUAGCAGAAUAUUUUAUCUCUCAGCAUCUCAAUUUGUGACUUAAAUGAUUCAUGAGAUGUUUGUUAGUGCAUUAUGGUCGAAAGCACCUUUCUGAGUGCUUUGAGAGAAACAAGAAUAAAAGCAUUCCUAACCGCACCCUGCCCCCUGCAAUCCCACCAAGGAUCUUACAAAACCCAUUUAGCUAAGCUCUUAUAUAGCAUUGAACCAAUCAUUGCACACUCAGCAUGUGACCAACACGUAUACUGAAGCCCACUUGAAAAACUGAGCACCUAUGCAAGUUUCCCAGGCAGGGCUAGAUUCAUGGGCAGGUAACCAGUGCAGUUGCAGUUGCACAGGGAUCUCUGCUCAGAAGGCCUUGCUUGGGGUUUAAUGCACAAUUCUUAAUUUAUCUUUCAAUGUGUAUUUUGUAAGAGGAGUCUCAUGGGACAAGGGAGCUGACUCGUGGUCCUGCCUCCUACCCACCCUCUGUUUGGGCCCUUAGUGUCCCAGGCUCCACUCUACCUACUCCCCACUCUCUGCUCCAUGACACUUGCUACCCUUCCCUCAGGGUGGCUACUAGGUCAGGUUGGCAGACAGGGAGGCAACAUUCUGCCCACACCCUCUGCAGGGGCCUGGGAGCAGUUGUGAGAAGAGGCUCUGCUGGGUAUGCACACUAUGGCAUCCUGGGAAAGAGCAUGGCAGUGUUGUCACUACCCUGGGCUGGCAGCACGGUGGUAUAUUUGGAAGGCAACUGGAUGGGGCCUUCUCACCCACUCCCAUCCAGGUAACAGGUGUGUCCUGGUGUGGAGGUUGCAAUCCCUUGGUAGGGGCACUGUAGAUUGAGGAGAGACAGGCUGUAGGAAUGAGAUACUAACUUACCUGCCAUGGCUAGGCCUCAUUUUCACUUUGCACUUAGGUCCCACAAUUAUGUAGCCAGCUCUGGUCCUGGACCAAAUGGCCUCUAGUGACUCCCUCUUUCCAAUCUAAGCAGGUCUUGCACAACUGUCAUGAAUGAAGCCAAUUCUGAUUUCCUAUCAGUUCAAUUUUUUUUAAAUUGCAUUCUGUUCCUCAGAAUCCAUUCCAACCAUAAAAACAUGAAAAAUUGAUUUUGAUCUCAGUAUAACAUCACCUCAUAAAUAUAUUUGAUAUAAUCACAAUCUUUAGAACUUGCUGUCUGUAUAAAAUGGGUUUCACACCUCAGCUCUUAAAGGCACUUGUUUAUUAUGGAAAAUCAAGCACAAUGUAAAAUUUACAUCGUAAAUGUGGCUUAUGAGGGAUUUUCCUGCAGAGACAGGACUGACUGAAGCUUUGUUCUCUAAACUUGGGCAAACAUUUUACAUGUUGAAAAGUAUCAUUUUGAUGAUUUCUUUUCAACACUGUUCCAGUUUUCGAAGGAAGAAUUAUAAAUAACAAGGCAUGAGAUUUCCCCCAAAGGUAUAUUUUUAGCAAUUUAAUACCUGGUAAAUUUUUCUUUCUUUUUGCUCAACAGCUAGGCGACUGCAUAGGAGAUUGGUCCAAGCCAACACACAUUCACUGGACAUCUGCCAUGAUGUGAGCCAAACCCUGGGCCCCAGGACGUAUGGAAAAUAUACAGACAAAUUAGAAGGUCCCUGCCCUUAAAAAGCAUCUAAGACCCUCAGUUGCUGAAUAGACAUAAAUCUGUAGCUGCUGAAGGAGAUGGCCAAGAGCUGGAAGGAGGCUGGCAGGCAUUGCUUGUGCCUUACUCCUCUCUGAGCACCAUAUUGUCAGCAGAAGAGGCCGCUUGGCCCAGGCUGACUGUGGACAGGUCUUGAUUACUUGAGGUCCACUGGGAGUUGCUGUCUGCAGCCUGACACAUAGAACGCCUUGCUUUCUCUUCCCUGUCUGUUAUAAAAGUUGCUUUUGGAAAAGCACCAUUUCUUGGGUCAGCAUGAAGAUUACCCUUGUGGUAGAUGCUGGAAAUAUUAACUAUUAUUAACAAAUAUUACUUAGGGCUUGCUAUAGGUGAGGCACCAUGCUGGAUUCCAGGCCUGUGGUCCCUGCUCUCAGGGCAUCAUGGUAAAUUGGAAAAGAUAUGUAAGCAAAUGACUAAAGUGUGUAUGGAACUUGGCACUGGGGAACUGACAGUCAAAAGUCAGUUAAAUCUCAGCUUUGACUUCAGCUGGCAUAGUGAUUUUGAUCAAUGCCUGCAAAUUCUCUGGGCUCUGGUUUCUUUAUUUGUAAAAUGUAUGUGUGGCUGAGGAGAAAGAACUUGUCUAUCUGGUCUCCAUGUUGACUUUUCUGUUAAAAUUCCCUGACUCUUCAAGCCUCCUAGAAAUAAUCAGCACCCCAUAGGCAAGCUUCCCUUUGACCUGUGUAUUAGUUUUCUAGGGCUGCCAUAGAAAGUACAGCAAACAGGGCACCUGUAGUCCCAGCUACUCAGGAGGCUGAGGCAGGAGAAUGGCGUGAACCCAGGAGGCGGAGCUUGCAGUGAGCCGAGAUCACGCCACUGCACUCCAGCCUGGGCAACAGAGCAAGACUCUGUCUCAAAAAAAAAAAAAAAAGUCCAGCAAGCAGAGUGACCUAAACAACAGAAAUUUAUUGUCUCACGGUUCUGGAGUCUACAAGUUGGAGAUCUAGGUAUCUGCAGGUUGGUUCCUUCUGAGGGCUGUGAGGGAGAAUCUGUUCCAUGACUCUUCCCUGGCUUCUGGUUUGCUGGAGAUUUUUUACAUUCCUUGGCUUAUAGAUCCCUGUCUUCAUGUUCAUAUGAUGUUCUCCUCUGUGUAUCUGUGUCCACAUUUCCCCAUUUCAUAAGGAUACCAAUCAUAUUAGACUACAGGCCCACCCUACAUCAUUAUAAAUUCAUCUUAACUAAUCACACUUGCAAAGACCCUAUUUCCAAAUAAGGCCAUGUUCUGGUGUAUUGGCAGUAGGACUUCAACUUAUGAAUUUUGGAGGGGCAGAAUUCAACCCAUAACAACUAGGUUUAUUCAUUUCUACCUUAGAAUCUUUGGUCCAGUCUGACCCAAGAUGGUAAAUAGUUUUCAUUUCAGUUGCUAAAUCUUAUUAAUUAAAGUCAUUACCUGGAGUGUUGUGUGAAGACACGUGAGUUGACAUCUUUUUCCCUUUAGUGGGAAAGGCAACUGGAAUUGGUUCAGCGCACCUGAGAAGCAGGAGAUUUAAAAAAUCCUACUGUCUAUCUUUGAACCAAGGACCCCACCCAAAAGUGAGAAACCUACAAAGAACUACUUUUUUCAGAGCUCUCCAGUUGAAAUGUUUCCCAAAAGGUGAUUGCCAAUUUGCAAUCUUGCUACAGACAAUCACACUAGCAGGGCCAUCAAGCCCAUCCCGUGAGAAUGAUCAAAUCUCCAAUAAGACUCAGCUGUUCCGUGGGGGAGUGAGGGGAAUGAAGCAUUUAGAAAGAUAAAAUCAUCUGAGUUUUCUGAAUGUUUUCCCUGCUGAGGUUGAGGCUGAGAACUUGCAUUGGCUGAAGACUUGCAGCUGGAACCAGAUAGGAGUAAGCUUCUGGAAGCACUAAAAUGAAUCGUCACUCCCACUCCUGGUACCCACAGCAUCAAAACCACCAGAUGCUGACAGCUGCUGUGGAAAUCUAAGCAAGUGGAGGGAUAUCCAGAUUGAGCUGGCCAAGUUUGGUACAAGAGCUAAGAGUCUGGGAACAAUGGGAGGUCAGCUUUCUGUGUCACUGUGGAUACAAAGGAAGUACUUUUGAGACACAGACAGGAAGUGACUGAGGACCUUAAAGGCAGCUUGGGCUAUCCAGGAAAGUUCUUCAUUCUUGUUUUUUCUGCUGAGGCUCUAGAGGGACACCUGUCAGACUGACUAAGGCCGAAGAUGGCUCACUACCAGAGAGAUUCAACUGAGGGCUUACGAUAGGUUUUGAGAUAUUGCUAUUGAUCUUGAGACAUUCAUCUGAAGCAUGAUUGUCACUGGCUUGAAACUUUCCCCAUCAUAAGAGAGGGACUGGGUCUACUUCAAAUGUUUUGCACUAAUGAAGUUACAUUCCCUUUCAUGGGGAGGUAAGUUGAUUGCAUUAACAGCCCCAGUUUUUCAUUCUCCCCUGAGGCCACCCAUUUGGUAGUACCCUCCCACAUUGAUUCUUGGUUUAGUCAUGUAAUUUGCUUUAACCCCCAACAGAAGCUUGAAAAACACUUGUUCAUUUCUGCUUGCACUCCUUAAGCCCUGCCCUCAUCAUGAGACCAUGCCCAGGCUAGUCUGCUGGAAGGAAGUCAGAGGCACACGGAAGAGAGCCACAUUCAGCCAAGGCCAUUCUAGACCAGUUGUUCCCUAUCACUUCACUAAUUGGCCACAGCACAAGGUUUUGUUGAAGACUGAAUGAGUGUGUAAAGUGCCCAACAGAAAGUCUGGCACAUGGUACAUGGAUGGAGCUGGAAGCCAUUAUCCUCAGCAAACUAAUGUAGGAACAGAAAACCAAAUACUGCAUGUUCUUACUUAUAAGUGGGAGCUGAACAAUGAGAACACAUGGACACAGGGAGGGAAACAACACACACUGGGGCCUGUCUGGCAGUGGGGUUGAGGGAGGAGAGCAUUAGGAAAAAUAGCUAAGGCAUGCUGGGCUUAAUACUGGGUGAUGGAUUGAUAGGUGCAGCAAACCACCAUGGCAUAUGUUUACCUUUGUAAGAAACCAGCGCAUCCUGCACAUGUACUCUGGAACUUAAAAUAAAAAUUAAAAUGUUUUUUAAAAAAGGUCAUGAUAUUUUCUCAGCAGCCCAGUUCACAUUUCCAGACCCCUCUGGCAUGUGUUACUCCAGAAAAAGCCCAGUGUGUGUGAGACCCAGGCCACUGUGACACUGUAUGAAAGGGACGGGCACGGAGGAGGGAGUAGGUUGCUCCAGCCAAAGCCAACAGCACCCCGGGAGCUGCUGCAUCUGGCCAAAGGCUGUUUAUGCUUUGCUGCAGACAUCGAAGCCUGCUGUUCAGGGGAGGAGGAUUUCAAUAUGUGACCCCACAAGGCGCAAGCAGAGCCACCUCUGUCAGACUGACCUGGACAAAGUGGUGGGGCCAAGUUUUAGAAAGAAGUUACAUUAGAUAGGGAGACAGGAAAGAAACACUUUGAUUCUUGCUUUUCAAGCUUGUUUCCUGUACUCUUUGGAAAAACAAGACCAGAAAACAGAGCACCUCUUCAGUUGCGUGACAGAGUGGGAAAAGAAUCGGAAUUGAUGGCAGUGGCUCAGCUUCAAUACUGCCCACUGCUGUCUUCCACUUGCAUAUUCUCCUGCAAGUCCCAUAGUCUCUCUGUGCGGACUCAGAUUCCACAUCUGUAAAAUGGGAGCAAUAACAAAGUUGACAUGAGGAUCACAUGGAAUAAUGUAUGUCUUGGACUUUUUUAAGGCAGGCAGUUAUGUGCACAAAUAUUUCAUUUGCUUGUCUUUUUCUCUGUAACUUUUCCCUUUGUCCUACCUAAUCCCUAUUUCUCCUUUUUUUCCAUAUGCAUAUACCUCAGGCCAGAAAUGUUCAAAUGUUUCCACCAAAAAUGCCCCUAACAAGCAAAAAAAUAUGUAAAAAGGUUUAGCCCAAAGGGUCCAACACAAAUGUGAAAUUUCAUUGACAUUUAACGUUUAUUUUUAAGAUGGAUGUGAAUCUUGAAUUUGAUUCCAUAAUAUGUUCAUGUGAAUCAUUUACAGUUAGUUCUUGGUUAAAAAUAAUGGAGUCCAUUCUAGGUAGCUCAGGCAGAACAAGAAUUUAAGGGCAACUGUGGAUCUUCUAGGAAAUCUAAAGCAUUGGGUUCCCCACGUACUGGAAACAUGAUGAAGCCAGUCCCCAGGGGCUGCCCCAGCAAAUGUCCAGUGGUGUUGGCCUUGGACACAAACACCCCAGCCUGCCCCAGACAGAGGUGCUUGCUCUGAUCCCACUGGGGACUGGAUACAGAGACUCUGCUACUGCUGCUUGUGGCUUUGUCACAGUGCUGCCCAAACCGAUUCCUCAAGGCUCCUUCCUCAUAUUGCUUUUGACCAAAUUGAAGUCUUUAGUGGUUGUGUCUGCAUGGUACUGCCUAAGACCCAGCCUAUAACUCAGCUACAAGGGAGGAUGGAAUAGGAAAUUCCAGCUUCUAGUUUAUGAAGGCAGGGCUCACAAUGUAGGACAUUUUCCCAAUACAGAAAAGACUUUGAAUACACACUUAGUGGUCAUAAACAUUAUAUAUCUUAACAUUCUUUUUAAAUCACCUAUCUGCAAGUAAAGUGAAUGUUUUGGAAACAUACACCCUGUUUUUCUAAGCUUUGUGUAUCUAUCAUAAUCUGUGUAAUCCCAAGGGUCCAUGCACUGCAGUUUGAAAAUCCAGGCCCUAGGCCCUCCAGAGGCAUUGCCCGUUUUCAUGGAAUGUACCUGAGGUUAAAGAGAUGAGUCAUCCUCAGAAAGAGAGUACAGUUUCCAUCUCCUAGGAAUGGAGGCACAUUCAAAACAAUUUGAAUAAUCCCAGGUACGAAAUUAUCAUAUUAGGCUCACAAAACUGAUGCCCUUUAACGGCUUUAGAAUCACCAGUCCCACUAUGAACAUACAUCUCCUAAUGCUCACACCGAUGUCAGUUUCCAUGUCUUUAUCCCACCUUUUCCCAGUGCAGGCUUGGUUCCUAUCUAGUCAGAGGAAUUCAGGUCCAUUCAGCACAUUUCAUGUCCAGUUUUGUUUACAGUAAAGGAUCAAGCCUCUCUUCUAUCAUGGCUAAUAAUUCCUGUUAGAAAUAGAAGCCAUUGGGAAAAAGUCACGAAAAAGUCAGCACUCUUUUCUGGAAACUUCAACUUUUGUUAUUUCCAUGACCUGAAGUUUCAUCAUCUUCAUUAGCAGAAAGCCCCAAGUCUGUCAUUGAAUCUUUGAGAGAAGCAAUACAAUUCAAAUUUCCCUCUGGCUUGAAGGUAGUGGGAUUGGCACUGUGGAGGGUUAACAUUCUCUCUGCAAACUACAGGAUGACAUUCUUCUAACAGCACAGCCCUGUCAUUGUUUGGGAAACAGUUCUCCAGGGAGUGGACUAUAAAACCACUGGCCAAAUUUCAAGCGGAAUCACCUCCAAACAUGCUAGGAAGGCAUGCUCUGCGCUGGUAUGCAACAGUGACCCCGACAAAGCAGCCCCCACCUCCAGAGAAGUCAUAUUUAGUGAAGAUAACUAACCAACCAUUCUCAGCGCUUGUAGCACAGGCGAGACAUUCUCAAGUGGAUCAAUUAGACGAAAAAGCAAGACAGAGCCUGCCCCAACACUUAACGCUCAAUUAUUGCCCAAAUGCUAAUGUACAGAAGAAGUAAUGAGGACUGGACUGGAGGGAGAGCCAGAAAGGGCUUCCACAGAAGGUGUGCCUCAUCCAGCCUGAGAGACACGGAGGAGCAGGACCAGCAGGUGAUGGGGGUGGGGGGCGGGUGGGGGUGAGCAAUCCAUUUCAGGUUUCUUCCAAAAAGACGUGUGCAGGGGGCUGGCUGAACUUAGCCACAGUUUCAGGAAUGCAUAGCAAUGAAACUACUGGAAGCAUUUGGCUUCAGUUAAACUUGGGGCCGAGCAGAGCCAAGACCAGCACACCUGGCUGAGGAGCGUGGGCUGUCCAAUGGCCAUCUCACCAAGAUGGUGUGGGAGCAGCGCCUAGGAAGAGACCUAAAGCCAAGGUGGGAAGGUGUCACCAGCUUCCUGACCACAUAGGGAGAAAAGUGGCUCCUGUUUAUCCAUCAAAUAUUUGACUAAGAACAGGUCUUAAUAAGACAUUUCUUUGGUUUUGGGAGGAGGGCAGGUUUGUUUGUUUAUUUGUUUUUCUCUUACCCCUGGAGAGUGAAGAAAUAGAACCCAUGCGAGCAGGCCUUGCUGCAAAAAUGUCACCUCUCCAUUCAGAUGCUGCCACACUGUCGGAAAUGCCACCGUUAGUAAGAGAUUUGAAAAUUUGAUCCUUCUUCAUUCAAAAUGAAAAGAGUUUACAUAGCUAUAGACCUUGACAGGUCAUUAAAAAGUGUUCAGACUCCUGAAAAACGCAUGAAGAAUCCUCAAAACAUUAAAAAUAGAAUGGCCACAUGAUUCAGCAUCCCACCACUGGGUAUAUAUCAAAAAAUAUGAAAUCAGUCAGAGCUAUCUGCACUCCCAUGUUCACUGCAGCAGUAUUCACAAUAGCCAAGGUUUGGAAUCAACCUGAGUAUCCAUGGAGACUCAUGGAUGGGUUUUUAAAAUAUGGUACAUAUACAUAAUGAAAUAUACAGCAGCCUUAAAAAACAAGAAUAUCUUGUCAUUUGAAACAGCAUGGAUUGACCUGGAUGACAUUACAUUAAGUGAAAUAAGCCAGGUUACAGAAAGACAAAUGCCAUAUGACCUCACUCAACAUCUAAUCUAAGAAAAGUGUUGAACUCAUAGAAAUAGAAAAUGAAAUGGGGUUACCAGAGACUGGGGGCUGGGAAGAUUGGGGAAAUAUUGGCCUAAGGACAUAAAGUUUCAGUGAGACAACAUGAAUAAGUUGAAGAGAUCUAUUUUACAAUAUGGUGACUAUAGUUAAUAGCAAUAUAUUGUAUAUUUGAAAACUGCUGAGAGAGUAGAUUUCAAGUGUUCUCACCACAAAAAGUAAGUGUGUGAGACAAAGCCUAUGUUAAAUAGCUUGACUUAGCCAUUCCACAAUGUAUACAAACACCAAAACAUCAUGCUGUAAUCAUAAAGUUUACUUGUCAAUUAAAAAAAUAAAUUUAAAAAGGAUUCCAAUUCCUUAUAUCUGUUGAAUCCCCCGGUAGGUCUAUGAAGUAUGCUGGGCUCUAGAAUGUAGUUGUUUAAGCACCCAAGUGAUGAAGCCAGACUGAGUUUGAAUCCCAUCUCUGACUAGCUAUGAAACCCAGGGCCACCCACAUAACCUCCCUGUGCCUUAGUUUUCUUUGCCCAUAAGUGGGGUGAUGAUAGUACUUACCUCGGAGAGCUGGUAUGAUUAAAUAAACUACUGACAUAAGUGAUUGGAACAAUGUCUAGCAUGCAGCAAGUGACAUGUAAACAUUAGCAAUUAUCAUUAUCCUAUUUUAUAGAUGAGGGAAACUGAGGCUCAGAGAGGUGAAGUGACUUACUCCAGGUCACACCACCAGUUGAUGGCAGAAUGAAGAUCUAACCUCUGCAAUUUGGUCUUCCAACUUGAAGCCUUAUGAUCACAAUGAGGAAGGCUCUCUCUCUUCUUCCACCCUCUCAAAGCAGUGAUAAUCAUUGUGAAGACCCUUUCUUUUAAAUAUGACAAAAAAAAUGCCUGGUAGAGAGGACUUAAAAAGUAGGUGAUGAGGCCCCAAGGAGAAGGAAUAGCAAUGCUUAUUAACAUUCUGCUAUCUGCUGGACUAUUAGAUGAUGGGUUGGAAAACCUUUUUCCGUAAAUGGCCAAACAGUAAAUUAUUUUAGUCUUUGUGGGCCAUCUGGUCUCUGUCAAAACCACUCAAUUCUGCCAUCGUAGUUCACAAACAACCAUGAACAAUACGUAAAUCAAUAGGCAUGGCUAUGUCCCAGUAACACUUUAUUAUGGAUUCUGAAAUUUGAAUUAGGUAGAAUUAUAUUUCAUGUAUGGUGAAAUAUUUCUCUUCUCUUGAUUCUUUCCAGCCAUUUAAAAAUGAAAAUGCAAUUCUGUUCUUUAGGGGCAUACAAAAGCAAGCAGCAAGACAGAUACCAGGGGGCUGUAGUUGGCUGACCUCUGAUGCAGAGGCUGAGAUUAACUUAAUCCUGCCAGCACUGCUGAGACUCAUUUUAUGCAUGAGUAAACUGAGGCUCAGGGGCUUCCAUCACCAGCUUACAAGGCAGAUUAGUGAGGAGCAGAGCUAGGAUUCAGUCCCUCUUUCCAUCUCCUCUGUGAUGCCCUUGGACCUAGUUGUUCCCUCUGUGUCUGUCACCACUGUGUGACAAAGUUACAAGACCCUCUGUUAUAGGACGGGGGAAACCGUCCUGAUGGACAUGCCCCUUCAAUGUGUGAUGACAGCAUUUGCCAUACUCAAGCCUUUUAGGGAAGCAACGUCAAUCAGCUGAUGUUCAGGACAUGUUGCUUCAGGAAAUAGCAGAUCCCAGCCACACCACGGGGCAGGUGCUUAGUACUCAUUUGGUAUGUGGCAUAGGGCAAUGGUUCUGUCACUGCCCCAGCUCUGUGGUACUGGUGACAAGACUCUUGAUUCUCUGGCCUGUAGUCAGCAAGAAGUUUGGGAGGUUCCCUCAUGGCAGAUCACCUUCGUGGGAUAACAGAGAAAGGUGCAUUGGUCUCAAGGGCUUUGGAUCAUACUGGACAAGCAGCAGCAAAAUGAGAGAGGUGCAUGCCUGAAAGAUAAAACUGGGCUAGGAGGUUUCCUGAAGGGUGCGGCCUGGGACUGGGAGAUUUCCUGAGGGCCAACUAGGCUUUAUCUCCCUCUUCCUCACAUCCCGCAUCUCAGACCUCAGACUUGGCCUCUGCCCCCACCUGCCAGACACACUCUCAGCUGAGCCAGCUGUAAGACUUGGGUCCGGCACCCAGCCUUUCCUCUGUGGUGCACAUUGAAGACCCAGGAGUGCCCUGCACUGGAGCUGCUGUUCCCAGACUGCAGCAAACCCACAGCUGCAGCUGCCUGCCUGCAGGUCUGAGCUUGUUUAGGCUUCACCAGAAAGAAAAAUGCCCCCGCCUUAGUCUGUCCUGGGAGCUGUGGCAAGCCAAGCCUGUCUGAGUGAGGGUGACUGGGGACCCUGGCACUUCCCUACUUACUUUAUAUCCUUUUAAAAUUGUUGUUUCAGACAUAAACACUCUCAAAGUAGAAAAUUUAGAAAAUAUGCAUGACAAAAGAAAAAACGAAAAUGACCCGUAAUCCUGCUUCCUAAGAGUAACUGUUUUUCUUCUCUUUCCAGUCUUUUUUUCUAUGCAUGUGUGCUCCCUAUCCAAAUGGGAUCAUAGGAUAGAUAAAUGCUGCUUGGGGAAUUUGUUUCUUUUUUAUUUAACACUGUAGGGUGAACAUCUUUCUAUGCCAAAGCAAACUUUUCUUUGCCGUUAUUUUUGCCUAUCAUCUGUUUUUGGCAAGUCCUCUUCCAAAGGUGUGUGGAACCUGGAGAGGAUUUCUGUGUAUUGGGGUCCUAGGCGCCAACUGGAUCACCGGAUCCAGCCCUUUUUAGGUAGGAGUGCGGGGGCAGCUCUGUGGCUUUGAGUAAUAAAAAAAGCCCUAGGCUCAUUGUUUGCACAAGCUUUCCUGCCCCAGCCCUGCUCUGACUCAUGGUGCCAUCUUAGACUUGUCACUUCAUCCCUCUGGGCCUCAGUUUCUUUAUCUAUAAAAUGGGAUGGUUGGAUUGAGGGCUUUGCCAGCUGUAAUGUCCAUGACUAAGUACUAGUAUACUGAGGCAGAUUCCAGAAGCCUCUGGGAGCAUUGGCUGCCGAGAGGAAGUUGUCUCUUCCCAGCCAGUAAUUUGGCAUCUGGCUUAAGGCUAACCAAGGAGCUAGGCGUCUUGGUCCGGAAGAUCUGAAACCUCUCUGGGGUAGCCAGCACCCUACGCUAUGGUUCCCAGGGCUUCACAGAUCACUGGGUUCUCCCCACCUUUCUGUUCCCUGCCUCUGGGAAAGGGAAGCAGCCGUCCUGUGCCAGCACUGAGCUCACAACUCCACUGCUUCUUGGUCAUGGUAUUAACAGCUGGAACCUGCAGCAGCCAAUAGCUACUGGUCACUCUCUGAAAUGCAAGGCAGGUGGCUGGGCAGAGAGUGACAUCUCAGGCAGUGCCAGGGCCAGUGCCUGGGGGGCUGGGCAGGUGGUGGAGCUGGGGUUUCUGGGAGCUGCAAAGGGCCUAGGAAAAGGGCUUUGGGUGGGCAGGCUUUCCUCACCUCUGUUUUCCCUUCCUCCUGUGAUCCAGGAAUAGCAGCUGGCUUUUCUUAAUCUGAUGUGAAGAGUCCUGCCAAGAAACUUGGAGGCUGAGGCAGCUGCUGUUUGAAGGUUUUGAGGGAUCGGAGCAUCGUGAAGUAUAAACAGCAGAAUCUUUUUUUCUGGCACUUGGGCUGUUUGUCUUCCAUACUCUUUUAUAGAAAUUACAACAACAGCAACAACAAUAAUAGCAAUACAGCUACCAUGUAAUAAGUUUUGCCAUCUUCUAGGCAAUGAGCCCAAUGCUUUACUUGCUUCAUCUUAUUUGAGAUGAGCUGUUUGCUGGUAUUAUCUCUAUUUUACAGCUGGGGAAAUAAAAGUUCCAAGAAGUUAAGCUAUUUGCCUAAGGCUCCCUAGCAAUGAGUUGCUAGGCUACGAUUUGGACUCAGAACGUCUGUUCUUAAGCUUGGCCUCUUACCCACCUGGCCUUUCCACCUCCUCAAAGCUUCAUGCUUCAGUUGGGCAGGAACCUCCCACUGUAGUUUCCGCUUUUCCUUAUAUGCAGAGAUUCCCAGAGGCUUAGAAAUUCUAUCAGUUCCAGGCAUCUAUGUGCUAGGUCCCAUACUCAUCAACAGUGUACCCAAAAUGUGUAAGCUUUGGUCUUCAAGUGCUGGAAGUUUAAUAUUUCAUUGAUGAGAUGAGUGAUACAGAUCCUGAGGUUCCAGGGGUCAUUUAUAUUUUUCAUGGCAUCAUGGAUUGUGUGUUUUGAGCCAUGCCUUCUGCAAUGUGAAUCCCACCUCUGCCACUUACCUGUGACUCUGGGCAAGUCUCUUAUCCUCUCUGUGCCUCAGAAUCCUCCUCUCUUAAACAGGGGGGAAUGCUAUAUACUUCAUAGAGAUGACUCUUAAGGAUUAAAGAGAAUGUAUAUAAAGUACUGUCACUUAGUAGGUGCUUCAUGAAUGUUAGCUGUUGUUAUAAAGACUAAAAGAAUGGUACCCUGAGUCAGAUGCCUGAGUUUUAUUCUAACUUAACUACUUAGCAGUUGUGUGACUUUGGAUAACUCACUUCUAUCACUCUGUGCCUCAGUUAAUAGGAUUGUCGUAAGGAGUAAAUGUGUAUCUUCUAUGUAUAUAAGUAUACAAAUGCACACACAUAUCUCAGAGCAACACAUGUUUACUAAGUAUCUAUUAUGUCCCUGGCACAUACUAACUGUUCUGGUUUUUAUUUUUCAUUAUGAUUCCUCUACUAUCAGCACAAUUUUAUAUUUAUUACCAUGACUAUUAGUCAUACAUCAGAUUUAUGGAUUCGAAACCACCUCACUCACUCCUCUAGAUGACCAUAUUUGUAUUCAUGGCAUUGCACAUUUAAGUCAUCAAAAUUUGUAACUUUGGAAUUAUUUAUAAUUUUCCUUUCCCCCUCCACAAUCACCCUGUCAGUACUGGCUGGGACCGUUUCUUCUAUCAAAACCGUCCUUUCCAUUCCCACUGGCGUCAUAUACCUCAUCAGUCAUUUAGAGUUGGUGUGAGUGAGUGUUGCAGCUUCUUCCCUGGGAGCCACUUUUGAUGAGAAGAAGCCAGGAAGGGAGGGGCACAUGGUUCUUCCACAUCCACUCUCCUAUGGUGGGUCAUUUCCCAUCAAGAUAUCCAAAGAAUUAUUCUUUGAACUCAAUUCUGUUCACUUCUCUCCUGAAAAACAAUCAAUGUCCCCUCACCCAUGCCUUUUAUUUUUCACACAGAUUCUUGAGUCUGGGUUUCAAGGCUUUCCACAGACUGGCCCAAGCUUUUUACAGGAAUCACCAAGGAUGAUGCCUGACCUUGCAUUUCGCUCGUGCAGUUUGUUUGUACCAUUCAAGUGCAAACACCUUUUGCCCCAGGUGCAGCUGACGGCCAGCUUGCAACCACAAGGAUGGCCACCAUGAAGUCAAAGGAGAACUGAGAGAAGAAACAAGAAAACAGACCAGGAACCCUGACUGAACUGCUCUGAAAAGCCCCUGCUUCUGGACUCCAGUCCAAUGGAAGACUCUGAGGAGGACUUAGGCAAGGCAAACCCACCAGAUGAAGGAAGCCUGAAUCCCAGAGUCUCAUUGCUUAGAGGAAAACUGCUGUAGAGAGCUGCUUGACCAAGAACACCUGCCUUGAACCUUGUAUGAGAAAGAAAUAAAGUUCUACUACUACAUUAA